rnacentral:rRNA from 1 species
UCGGGAAUAUUGCGCAAUGGAGGAAAACUCUGACGCAGUGACGCCGCGUGCAGGAAGAAGGUUUUCGGAUUGUAAACUGCUUUAGACAGGGAAGAAAGAAAUGACGGUACCUGUAGAAUAAGCUCCGGCUAACUACGUGCC